rnacentral:rRNA from 1 species
GACGAACGCUGGCGGCGUGCCUAACACAUGCAAGUCGAACGAUGGUCUCCCGCUUGCUGGGGUUUUUAGUGGCGGACGGGCGGGUAAUUCGUGAGUACACCGGCCUUUACUCUUGGGUAAGGCAGGGAAAAGGGGACCUAAUCCUGAUACUACAUACUACCUACUGGUGGGUGGGGGAAAGGGUCUUACUUGGUUUGUAUGGGCUCACGGCCUACCGGCUUGUUUGUGGAGUAAUGGCUCACCCAGGCGACGACGGGUAGCCGGCCCGAGAGGGUGACCGGCCACACUGGGACUGAGACACGGCCCAGACUCCUACGGGAGGCAGCAGUGGGGAAGAUUGCACAAUGGGCGGAAGCCUGAUGCAGCGACGCCGCGUGAGGGAUGACGGCCUUCGGGUUGAAAACCUCUUUCAGCAGGGAAGAAGCCACAAGUGACGGUACCUGCAGAAGAAGCGCCGGCUAACUACGUG